UAGCGUAAUCACUUGUUCCAUAAAUAGGGACCCGUAUGAACGGCCACAUGAGAAAGAAACUGUCUCUUGAAGAUAGCCAAUGAAACUGAUCUGCUUGUUAAAAAGCAAGUAUAACCAAGCUAGACAAAAAGACCCUGUGAAACUUAAAACUAAGCAUUAAACAAAUAAUGCCUAACUUUUAGUUGGGGCAACUUAAGAAAUACUAAACAUCUUAAAUACCAUAAACCAACAAGUUGAAGCCACUAAACAAAAGAUCCGGCACGGCCGACUAACGAACCAAGCUACUCCAGGGAUAACAGCGCCAAAUUCUUUAAGAGUCCACAUCAACAAGAAUUCUUACGACCUCGAUGUUGGAUCAGGGUACCCAAACAGUGCAGAAGCUGUUAACGGUUCGUUUGUUCAACGACUAAGACCCU
rnacentral:rRNA from 1 species